CUGAUAUGCGACCCGGCUCCCAACAUUCACCUACAAGAGCCGGCUCUAAGAGCCGACUCGUUCGCGAACGAACCGUCACCACCACACAUCCAGUACUAAGCGCAAGUGAGAUAAGGCUCUGCUUCGUUCAUCACAGGCUCGCACACCCUGUCAUUCAUUCUGCCCUCCCUCGCUUCGGCGCACGCUGCAUUCCUCCGGUAGUUUUUGGAUAGCGCAUAGCGAUGUUUCUCUGCAGAACGGCCUGGCAAAGAUGUGGGCAUUUGGCAAGGAAGUCAGCCUACCAGUUAUCUAGAGAUGUGCUGCCACGGCGACAGAUGUCGUCGCUCCCCGGUGGUACUGGGGAUAACAUCAUCUAUGCCCUGCUGUGUGGUGGGGCCUUUGUUGGAGCAGUCGCCUAUACGUACAGCACUGUGACCACAGACCACGCCAGAUUCACCGACCGUGUGGCGGAUAUCAACGCUCGUCCCAAGGCUGAGUGGGUUCCCAAACCAUGGCCCCCCAAGAGCAGGGAUGAGGAAGAGGAGGGUGAGGAAGCAGUAGCCGAUGGAGAGGAGGAAGCAGAGGAGGCGGCGGCUGGAGAGGAGGCUGCAGCUGAAGAGGCUGUAGAGGCGGAAAACGUAGCAGAACCUGCUGAAGAGGCCGAGGCAGUCUCUGAAGAACCUGCUGUGGAGGCAGCCGUAGAGGAAGUGGCUGUAGUAGAAGCAGAGACUGUGGUGGAGGAGAUCGCAGAGGCUGUCGCCGAGGCUGCUGAAGUCAUCGUCGAGGUCGCUGAGGAGGUCGUUGAGGUGGCUAAGGAAGUAGAGGCGGCAGCAGAGGAAGUGGUCAUAGUGGCCGAGGCUGUGGAGGAUGCUGCAGAGGCCAUUGCCGUGCCCACCAUCGCCGAGGAAGCAGUUGCUGUGGCAGAGCUAGAGAGCAAUGUGGCACCAGUCGCUAUGGCAGCAGCCUCUGCUUUGGCGGUGGCAACAGUCGCUGAAGUAGUUUUAGAAGUCAAGGAGGCUGCCCCAGUGGAGGCCCCAGCUGCAGAAGAAGCAGCUCCAGUCGAGGCCGCACCCAUAGAAGAGGCUCCAACUGCAGUCGAAGAAGCUCCAAUUGAGGCUGCCGCAGCAGAGAUUGUGGAGGCAGACGCUGCACCUGUGGAGGCAGACGCUGCACCUGUGGAGGCAGACGCUGCACCUGUGGAGGCAGAAGCUGCACCUGUGGAGGCAGACGCUGCACCUGUGGAGGCAGACGCUGCACCUGCGGUGGAAGAGGCGCCAGCUGCGGUGGAAGAGGCGCCAGCUGCGGUGGAAGAGGCGCCAGCUGCUAAGGAGUACAUUGUAGUGGUGCUGGAGGGAGCGAGCAAGUCAGACAAGAGGCCCAAAGUCCUGGGGGUUGGCCCCAUGACCGGCAGGAUGAUCCCAGACGAAGAUGAGGCCCCUGCUGCUGAGGUAACAGGGCAAGCGACGGGGCCUUAGGAUGAAGAUGCAGUUGAACCAACUGACAGUAAGCACUUGGAGCCCCUGGAUGAUAUAUCUACCCUGAGGAAGACAAGGGAUGUGCCUUCCCCCACACUUUAACCCUUCCACGCACUUUGGCCCCUAACCCUUGAUUUUUAUCUGUAUUAUAAAACUUGUCUCCCCGUCUUGCAUCGGGGAAUUGUCUGUGUAUAUGUUCAGAUAAUGCCUGCUUUAUGGAAACAAAAGUCUGAUAUAUUAUUCUAAUGUACUCCACCUGUUCCAAGAAGAGGUACAUCUUCCGAUUGUAUCACAUCGGAGCCGUUUAGAAAUGGUCCAUCUAUAUAGGCUUCACAACCGAACAUGUGACACUGCAGAUAGUCAGUCAUAUAGUACAAUACAUUACUCUUCUCAACUUUUUAGAUGCGCACAGUCACAAAACCCCUGGGAGUUUACUACUGGUUCAUCUGCACAACCUUUAUAAGGAGACCAUCUUUCUCACAAUGGGAGUUCUAUUUUCUUAGUUUUCAGUAUGGUUACAGCUGUGAAGGCUAAGGAUACUCUCACAGCAUCGUAUGUCAUAGUUUACUUCACCCAAGAAACCUCACACUAGACUCACUCCAAUGGUGUUUUAUGAUUUUCACCAUCCAAGGCAGUACUACACAUCUGAUGCUCAGCCAGCAAUUGCCUCAUGUCCGGGUAGGAAUGCGACCAGCAUUCUUUAACUAUCCUCAUGUUUUAACUCUUUGGGCUGAUUCCAAUGUGAACAUCACAAGUAUUUAACUCUCAAAGGGAAUUCGAUCAGACUGCUUUUGGAAAUCACUCUAUUUCUGAGUCACUGACUUGUUUUUGGGAGACCAGUAUUAAUUAUCUUACCACCUCAGUAUUCCUCCAGCUUGUGAUCCACAGACCUUUUAUCAAUGCAGUGUUACAGUUGAACAAACCUUCUCAGUUGCAUGCCAGACAUGUGAUUCAUAUUGGGAAAGGAGCAUGACAACGAAUGAGUCAGGUUUUUACAGUCGGUGAUGUCUCUUCAAGCUAGACGCCAUUGCGUAGUCCAUGAUGUCGCUCUUCAAGAUUUCAUAAGGCAGACAUUUUCAUCUCUCUUUUUACUUUCUCCCUCCCCCUCUGUUGUAGAGCCUUUCUCUGCUCAGCACCAUGGCUAUAGAGUACACAGCUGUUAGAUAGUCCAUUUAUUUAAGUGACCCUCUAUAGCUUAUUGUGGUGAAAAGCUGUAUCUGAAAUAGGAAAAGCCAUGAUUUGAGUGUAUAGCAUGUUUUCGUAGGCUGGUAUAAACAGUUGAGUGUUGUGCUUGUUAUCAUAUGAAAGUAGAUUUUUUUUUACUCUGCAGUCAGGCUUAUGUGGUGGCAUACGUUAAUUCAGCGCUUGAUAUGGCUCACUAAGUGUUUCUAAAGUUUUUUUCUGCUUUUCAAAUUAGAUGACUUACUAGUUAGUUUAGAUUCAUAAAUACAUGUUCAUAACUUUGUCAGAACCAGUUAAAAUAAUCUGCAGGCCAUACAAGGCUUUCACUGUAGACAGACAUACUCUACAUAUGUGUUGUAGGACUAGUUUCCUCACAUAUAUUUUAUUUUUGCUGUGUUAGGCAUAUUUGAAACGGUACCGAGACCGUUGAUAAGAAGUGAAUGUAGGAUAAUUCCUAAUUAAGGAGUGGGAUAAUUCAGUGUGUAUGUCCUAAUGUUUGCAGGCAGGUUUUGAAUGGGCUAUAUAGUGGCUUGUCAUGUGAGUGAAUGGCUUCAUGCUGUGCAUCUGGCCUAGCAUGGGCUACAAACUGGGACUAUUUGAAACAUUGCUGUUUUUCUGAAAUAAAGGAA
ensembl:lncRNA ETS-related transcription factor Elf-2-like